rnacentral:rRNA from 1 species
AUUGAACGCUGGCGGCAGGCCUAACACAUGCAAGUCGAGCGAGCGGCGGACGGGUGAGUAAUGUGUGGGAAACUGCUUGCGGGAGGUAGCUAACUACUGGAAACGGUAGUUACUACCGCAUACCAUCAGAUGUGCCCAGAUGGGGUUAGCUAGUUGGUUGGGUAAUGGCUCACGAAGGCGACGAUCCCUAGCUGGUCUGAGAGGAGGACCAGCCACACUGGAACUGAGACACGGUCCAGACUCCUACGGGAGGAAGCAGUGGGGAAUAUUGCACAAUGGGCGCAAGCCUGAUGCAGCCAUGCCGCGUGUGUGAAGAAGGCCUUCGGGUUGUAAAGCACUUUCAGCGGGGAGGCGUUACCCGCAGAAGAAGCACCGGCUAACUCCGUGCCAGCAGCCGCGGUAAUUC